rnacentral:rRNA from 1 species
CCUACGGGGAGCAGCAGUAGGGAAUCUUUCACAAUGGGCGAAAGCCUGAUGGAGCAACGCCGCGUGCAGGAUGAAGGCCUUCGGGUUGUAAACUGCUUUUAUAAGCGAGAAAUAUGAUGGUAACUUAUGAAUAAGGAUCGGCUAACUACGUGCCAGCAGCCGCGGUCAUACGUAGGAUCCGAGCAUUAUCCGGAGUAACUGGGUGUAAAGAGUUGCGUAGGUGGCAUAAUAAGUAGCUAGUGAAAUCUGGUGGCUCAACCAUUCAGACUAUUAGCUAAACUGUUAAGCUCGAGACCGUUAGGGGUAACUGGAAUUUCUAGUGUAGGAGUGAAAUCCGUAGAUAUUAGAAGGAACACCAAUAGCGUAGGCAGGUUGCUGGGACGGUUCUGACACUAAGGCACGAAAGCGUAGGGAGCAAACGGGAUUAGAUACCCCAGUAGUC